GACUUGCCCGAAAAGUUGCACAAAAGUUUGGAUGGAGACUUCAAGGAGUGCGAUUUGCUGAUCAUCAUGGGCACCUCGCUGGAAGUGCAUCCGUUUGCAGCUUUGGCGCAGUGCCCAGGACCGCGCUGUGUGCGUCUCUUGAUCAAUCACGAUGUCGUGGGUCGUCCCAAGUUUACCAGCUGGAUGGAUGACCAAAAUGGGCUCUACGAGAACAGCGAGUCAAGUAUUGACUUGGCGGAGAAACAUUCAAAGGCGACUUUCACCCACCUACGUCGAGGCUCUUCAGUUCAUCCCACCGUAGUGUAACCGAGCGUGACCAGCGCUGGCGCAGCGCUGGCGCAGCACAGCUCAUUGAGCAGACGAUGAACAGCAGAUAGCAGACUGCAGCUCCAGCUCGAAAACAUCAUCACAUCCGUUCUUGUGAACUCCUCUCUCGAGUUCGAAGUAUCGGCAUUGUGGAUGGUUCAGCAGGACAGCAGGUUCAGGACAGCCCAAUCGAUGCAGCCCAGGCAAGCGGCAGUGACCUUCCUUGUAGAGCGAAUAGAGAAAGGCUUCAGUCUGAAUGGUCUUGCCGAGGCCCAUCUCAUCGGCUAGAAUGGUGUCGAUGGCCUGUCGAGGCUCUUCAGUGUGACCGAUGAAAACAGCGCUGGCGCAGCACAGCUCAUUGAGCAGACGAUGAACAGCAGAUAGCAGAUUGCGGCUCCAGGUCGAAAACAACAUCACAUCCGUUCUUGGGAAAUCCUCUCUCGAGUUCGAAGUAUCGGCAUUGUGGAUGGUUCAGCAGGACAGCAGGUUCAGGACAGCAGGUUCAGGACAGCCCAAUCGAUGCAGCCCAGGCAAGCGGCAGUGACCUUCCUUGUAGAGGGAAUAGAGAAAAGCCACAGUCUGAAUGGUCUUGCCGAGGCCCAUCUCAUCGGCUAGAAUGGUGUCGAUGGCCUGGCCACAGCUGUAGUGAAGCGCUGGUUUCUCGUCGAGCCCAGUGCCAAGCGGAUGCUGCAGCAGGCAAUCAUUUUGGUCAUCCAUCCCGGUGGUAGAGUUGGGACGACCCACGGCAUCGCGAUUGAUCAAAAGACGCACACAGCGCUGUCCAGGGUACUGCGAGAAAGCUGCAAACGGAUGCACUUCCAGCGAGGUGCCCAUAAUGAUCAGCAGAUCGCACUCCUUGAAGUCUCCAUCCAAACUUUUGUGGAACUUUUCGGGCAAGUCUUCCCCAAAGAAAACAAUAUCCGGCUUCGCAAUUUUCUUGCAUGCCGUGCACUUGGGCGGCCGAUCAGCGAAAAUCUCCUCCUUCAUCCAGGCAAUGCCGUAUUCCUUCUUGCACUUAAUGCAGUGGUUGGUGUGUAAGCUGUCAUGGGCCUUGACCAGCUUAAGUUAAGGCACGCCCGGUACAAUUUUAAAUAAAUAAAACAAAACUCUACGCCAAGUUAAACUUGAAAAAUUUGUAUCAAAAUAUCUGUAUUGCUUUUAAAUUGUCCUAUCCCACUUGAGCGCGACCUGAAGACACCCUGGGAACAUCAGAGAGGAGGCAAGGAAGCACUCACACACCAUGCAAGAUGCCAGAGCAAACCAAUUGCAUUUUCCAUACGGAUUUGCAUGAUUUAAAGGAUCAUUAAAGUUGAACAACGUCGUCAAAAGCAAUAAGACAGUACAACAAAAAAUCGAUAAGAUGUUGAAAACAGGACAGGAGCCUUACCAGAACUUUGAUAGAAUAAAACCAUACAUAUACACUCCCAAUCAGACAACAAACA